GGAAGUGUGGCUCAGUGGCAGAGCGCUUGCCUCCCAUGUACGAGGCACUGGGUUUGAUCCUCAGCACCA
rnacentral:tRNA from 1 species